rnacentral:pre_miRNA from 1 species
UGGCUUAAUUACUUUUUUGGUCCCUUAACUUAAUUUUUGGUUUCGUUUUGGUUCCUUAACUAUUAAAAGUUUCGUUUCGGUCCCAUAACUUAUUUUUGGGUU